AGCAGCCGCGGUAAUUCCAGCUCCAAUAGCGUAUAUUAAAGUUGUUGCAGUUAAAAAGCUCGUAGUUGAAUUUCGGGGUUCUACCGUUGGUCGGGCUUUGUCUGUACUGACGUGUAGAAUUUCUACCUUCUGGGGAACCAUCAUGUUAUUAAUUUAACGUGGUGGGAAACCAGGACCUUUACCUUGAAAAAAUUAGAGUGUUCAAAGCAGGCUUAUGUCUGAAUACAUUAGCAUGGAAUAAUAGAAUAGGACGGUGGUCCUGUUUUGUUGGUUUCUGAAUCACCGUAAUGAUUAAUAGGGAUAGUUGGGGGCAUUAGUAUUCAAUUGUCAGAGGUGAAAUUCUUGGAUUUAUUGAAGACUAACUUCUGCGAAAGCAUUUGCCAAGGAUGUUUUCAUUAAUCAAGAACGAAAGUUAGGGGAUCGAAGACGAAUCAGAUACCGUCGUAGUCUUAACCAUAAACUAUGCCGACUAGGGAUCGGAUGAUGUUAAUUUUUAAUGACUCAUUCGGCGCCU
rnacentral:sRNA from 1 species